CCUACGGGUGGCAGCAGUGAGGAAUAUUGGUCAAUGGGCGCGAGCCUGAACCAGCCAAGUCGCGUGAGGGAUGACGGUACUUCGUAUUGUAAACUUCUUUUGUCGGGGAGCAAAGUCCGCGACGCGUCUCCGGAUGAGUGUACCCGAAGGAAAAGCAUCGGCAAACGCCCUGCCAGCAGCCGCGGUAAUACGGGGGGUGCGAGUGUUAUCCUGCUUUAUUGGGUUUAAAGGGUGCGCAGGCGGGAGAGCAAGUCAGCGGUAAAAUGUCGGGGCUCAACCCCGGCCGGCCGUUGAAACUGGUUUGCUAGAGGUGGAGAGAAGGAUGCGGAAUGCGUGGGGUAGCGGUGAAAUGCAUAGAUAUCACGAAGAACUCCGAUUGCGAAGGCAGCAUACCGGCGCCAAACGGACGCUGAUGCACGAAAGCGUGGGGAUCGAACAGGAUUAGAUACCCCAGUAGUC
rnacentral:rRNA from 1 species